rnacentral:rRNA from 1 species
AGAGUUUGAUCAUGGCUCAGGACGAACGCUGGCGGCGCGCUUAACACAUGCAAGUCGAGCGAGAACCUGGCCUUCGGGCCUGGGGAAAGCGGCGAACGGGUGAGUAACACGUGGGUAACCCACCCUUGGUACCGGGAUAGCCCGGGGAAACCCGGAUUAAUACCGGAUGGCCCAACAGCUCUUCGGGGCGGUUGGAAAAGGUAGCUUCGGCCUCCGACCAAGGACGGGCCCGCGGUGGAUUAGCUUGUUGGUGAGGUAACGGCUCACCAAGGCGACGAUCCAUAGCUGGUCUGAGAGGACGAUCAGCCACACUGGGACUGAGACACGGCCCAGACUCCUACGGGAGGCAGCAGUGGGGAAUCUUGCGCAAUGGGCGAAAGCCUGACGCAGCGACGCCGCGUGGGGGAAGAAGGCUUUCGGGUUGUAAACCCCUUUCAGGAGAGACGAAGCCACUCAGGUUAAUAGCCGAGAGGGUGACGGUACCUCCAGAAGAAGCCCCGGCUAACUACGUGCCAGCCGCCGCGGUAAUAC